UCUUUGCUUCCCUCUCUCUUGCUAGACAAACAAGAGGACAGGAGAUCAGCUGUCUGUGGCCAAAGAAAGGGGAGUGAAGCCAGUGUGAGCGCCCGCCUGGGACUGCCUCCUUUGGCGUUUGCUGCGUUUUCGAUACCAUCUCCCGGAUAGGGGCAGGCCACUGUCAGUUGGCUUUUCUUUUGCGUGCAGCUGAAUGUAGUCCUCAAUGACGCACGGAGGGGGCCAUGAGUGUUUGCACGGGGGCACAGUCCUCCUGCACCAGUGCAGCCUCAGGAAGGGCCUCUCUCAAAUCUGCCUUGUUCUCCCAUCAGGAAGCAGGGAGGAGGGGACUGGGCCAGGAAGAAGGCGUGGCCUGGAAUAUCACUAACUCAGCAUGGGGGUCUCUGACUUAACAUGUUCCUGCAGCCACCCAGAGACGUGGUUACUAAAAUUGCCAUGGCAGAGGUAAAGCAAGGAAGAAGUGAAUCGCCCAGACAUCGGAGGGAAGAGGCCGCACAUUCGACCCACCUCCAACAGGGCAGCCACUGUGCUUUCCAUAGCAGCUGGGACACAAUUGUGAAAAUUCCAUUUCACAGACUGGCUCAUGGGGAAUUCUGAGCAAUUGAACUGGAUAAUAAAUUAGUGUUUUAAA